CGAUUGCUCUAUUCCAGCAGCCGCGGUAAUACGUUCCCGGGUCUUGCCACACCGCCCGUCACACCACGAGAGUUUACAACACCCGAAGUCGGUGGGGUAACCGCAAGGAGCCAGCCGCCGAAGGUGGGGUAGAUGAUUGGGGUGAAGUCGUAACAAGGUAGCCGUAUCGGAAGGUGCGGCUGGAUCACCUCCUUUCUAAGGAUAUGCCUGAUCGCGAUGACGAUCAGAUACAAGUUGCCGGAUGAUAAUGAUCUAUGUGUUCAGCUUUGAUGGAAUUUGCUUGGGGCCAUAGCUCAGCUGGGAGAGCGCCUGCCUUGCAAGCAGGAGGUCAGGAGUUCGAUCCUCCUUGGCUCCACCAAAAAGCAUUACCAUCAAUUGCAAGUGACAAGCUGUUUCUUUUUUUUUUGAGACUUAAUCACUUGCGAAAUCUUGCUGCCAAGUGACAAUUUGAACAACAAAUUGUAACACGUGCAGACCUUGCACCUUGAAAACUGGAUACGAACAAAUGAAACAUCCUUUAGCUGAGUAAUACAGCAGUGAAGUGCUUAUUGUUUUAAGCAUUUGACUGCCGCGAAGGUUUUCGGAUGGGAGCGACUUUUGUCGUUUUGAUU
rnacentral:misc_RNA from 1 species